rnacentral:lncRNA from 1 species
GAAGUUGUUGGAAAAUAUGUUCUAAAGCCAAUCGUGUGAUGAUUGUACUAAUUAUAAAUGUAUAUAAAUUGAUAAAUAAUAAAAAAUAUUUAAUAUUUUUCAUCAUAAAGAUUCAUCUUCUAACGAACUCCUAUAUUGUGAUGAAGUUCUUAGGACUACUUUGAUCGAUAAAAAAAGAUUUAUCGCGUAGUCCUUAAACUAGUUCGCGACC